rnacentral:tRNA from 1 species
CCCUCUCUGGCCGAAUGGAUUAGGCAUCGUAGUUCUAUUGCGAUUUAUACAGGUUCGAGUCCUGUGAGGGGGU